rnacentral:snRNA from 1 species
GUGCUCGCUUUGGCAGCAUAUAUAUAACUAAAAUUGGAAUGAUACAGAAAAGAUUAGCAUAGCCCCUGCAUAAGGAUGACAUGCAAAUUCGUGAAGCAUUCCAUAUUUUU